AGAUGGUGCCUAUGCUGUUGGUCUACAGGCUGUAUUUUAUAUAGCAGGGUUUGGUACAAUCUUUCUCAACCAGACCUGGAAGAGAAGUUGUAACAUGGCUGCUGCUCUGCAAGCUCACAUCCACUAUCCAGGCUGAAGCCAGAAGAAGUGGGAAGAGAAAAACCAAAGGACAGUGCCCUCUGUAAACCACUUUUAAAAAACGUUUCUCAGCAGCUACUCUUUAGAGGUAUGAUGGAUCUCCCCACAAAGUCUGGUUCAGGUGUCAAGACCUACACACCAAGAAACGAUGAGAAGAAUUAUCAUUCACAUGAGACUUUCUGGGGCAAGCAGAGUGGCUACCAAACAGGUCUUAAAAUGGCUUGAGAAAUCCAGCCAAUAUUGGUGAGUUGUAUUUUUGUGCCAUUUUUUUCAAAUUAAAUUUAUUCAUAUGAAGUUGUUCAUAAU
rnacentral:lncRNA from 1 species